AGCCGCGGUAAUACGGAGGGAGCUAGCGUUGUUCGGAAUUACUGGGCGUAAAGCGCACGUAGGCGGCCACUUAAGUUUGGUCUUAAAGACUGGGGCUCAACCUCAGGAAUGGAUCGAAUACUGGGUGGCUAGAGGACGUCAGAGGAAGGUGGAAUUCCCAGUGUAGCGGUGAAAUGCGUAGAUAUUGGGAGGAACACCAGUGGCGAAAGCGACCUUCUGGGACGUUCCUGACGCUGAGGUUCGAAAGCUCGGGGAGCAAACA
rnacentral:rRNA from 1 species